rnacentral:rRNA from 1 species
AUUGAACGCUGGCGGCAGGCCUAACACAUGCAAGUCGAACGAGUUGCGGACGGGUGAGUAAUGUCUGGGAAACUGCCCGAUGGAGGGGGAUAACUACUGGAAACGGUAGCUAAUACCGCAUACCAUCCGAUGAGCCCAGAUGGGAUUAGCUAGUUGGUGGGGUAACGGCUCACCAAGGCGACGAUCCCUAGCUGGUCUGAGAGGAUGACAAGCCACACUGGAACUGAGCCACGGUCCAGACUCCUACGGUAGGCAGCAGGGGGGAAUAUGGCACAAUGGGCGCAAGCCUGAUGCAGCCAUGCCGCGUGUAUGAAGAAGGCCUUCGGGUUGUAAAGUACUUUCAGCGGGGAGGCGUUACCCGCAGAAGAAGCACCGGCUAACUCCGUGCCAGCCGCCGCGGUAAUUC